UUGGACGUGGUGCACGAUGCACGCCUGCCUGCGCUAUACUCUACUGUCGCAUGAUCUGCCUAGUCGCAGGAAGUCCGGGUUCGACUCCCGGCGUCCGAA